rnacentral:rRNA from 1 species
ACACAUGCAGUCGAGCGGAUGAAGGUAGCUUGCUACGGGAUUCAGCGGCGGACGGGUGAGUAUAUGCCUAGGAAUCUGCCCGGUAAUGGGGGAUAACGUUUCGAAAGGAACGCUAAUACCGCAUACGUCCUACGGGAGAAAGCAGGGGACCUUCGGGCCUUGCGUUAUCGGAUGAGCCUAGGUCGGAUUAGCUAGUUGGUGAGGUAAUGGCUCACCAAGGCGACGAUCCGUAACUGGUCUGAGAGGAUGAUCAGUCACACUGGAACUGAGACACGGUCCAGACUCCUACGGGAGGCAGCAGUGGGGAAUAUUGGACAAUGGGCGAAGCCUGAUCCAGCCAUGCCGCGUGUGUGAAGAAGGUCUUCGGAUUGUAAAGCACUUUAAGUUGGGAGGAAG